CCUACGGGUGGCAGCAGUGGGGAAUAUUGGACAAUGGGCGAAAGCCUGAUCCAGCCAUGCCGCGUGUGUGAAGAAGGCCUUCGGGUUGUAAAGCACUUUCAGUGGGGAAGAAAGCCUUGGGGCUAAUACCCUCGAGGAAGGACAUCACCCACAGAAGAAGCACCGGCUAACUCCGUGCCAGCAGCCGUGGUAAUACGGAGGGUGCGAGCGUUAAUCGGAAUUACUGGGCGUAAAGCGCGCGUAGGCGGUCUGAUAAGCCGGUUGUGAAAGCCCCGGGCUCAACCUGGGAACGGCAUCCGGAACUGUCAGGCUAGAGUGCAGGAGAGGAAGGUAGAAUUCCCGGUGUAGCGGUGAAAUGCGUAGAGAUCGGGAGGAAUACCAGUGGCGAAGGCGGCCUUCUGGACUGACACUGACGCUGAGGUGCGAAAGCGUGGGUAGCAAACAAGAUUAGAUACCCGUGUAGUC
rnacentral:rRNA from 1 species